GCCGGGGUAGCUCAAUCGGUAGAGCGUGUGGCUCUUAGACUACUAGGAGUAGUGAAACCUCAAGGUCGCGGGUUCGAGCCCCGCCUUCGGCU
rnacentral:tRNA from 1 species